rnacentral:rRNA from 1 species
GAUGAACGCUGGCGGCGUGCCUAAUACAUGCAAGUCGAACGAAGAUCUAGCUUGCUAGAUCUUAGUGGCGAACGGGUGAGUAAUACAUAAAUAAUCUGCCCAUAUGACUGGGAUAACUAUUGGAAACGAUAGCUAAUACCGGAUAGGUUGAUUGGAGGCAUCUCUGAUUAAUUAAAGUAGGAUUUCCACACAAAUGGAUGAGUUUAUGGCGCAUUAGUUAGUUGGUGGGGUAACGGCCUACCAAGACGAUGAUGCGUAGCCGACCUGAGAGGGUGACCGGCCACACUGGGACUGAGACACGGCCCAGACUCCUACGGGAGGCAGCAGUAGGGAAUUUUCGGCAAUGGGCGCAAGCCUGACCGAGCAACGCCGCGUGAGUGAUUAAGGCCUUCGGGUUGUAAAGCUCUGUUGUAAGGGAAGAACAUUCAGGAUAGGAAAUGAUCUUGAACUGACGGUACCUUACCAGAAAGCCACGGCUAACUACGUGCCAGCCGCCGCCGUAAAAC